GACCAGCCUCCUCCGCAGGCAACUCUUUGGCAAAAAUUGGCAAAACCUACAAUAUUCACAUUUUUGCCAAUUUUUUUAUUCAUAAUACAUCUUUUUGGCCAAUUUUUGCCAACGAGUUGCCUGCGGAGGAGGCUAGCA